GGAUGUGAAGGUGAUCUGGCUGCAACAUCUGUCACCCCACUGAUUGCCAGCGUUGAUGCGGCUGAUCUGGCUGCCUCGGCAGGGGUCCCCUUCCUCCUCCAUUGCUCUUAUAUGCCCCUCCUCAGCUGCAGGCUCCCUCAGAGAGGACAACCUUGCCCAAGAGAGGAGGGCUGUCCUUCAGUCAAGGGUAUAGCAGGAGCCUCGCUUCCCGCUAGAACCUCUGAACAAGCUCUCGGUCCGUAUGUAGGAGAACAUGGUCUAUUCCGGCCUCCAAGACUCAGACCCAGGGAGUGAAGCACUGCAUGUGGCCGUCUGCUUUUU
ensembl:misc_RNA 7SK 7SK RNA